rnacentral:rRNA from 1 species
GAUGAACGCUGGCGGCGUGCCUAAUACAUGCAAGUCGAGCGAACAGACGAGGAGCUUGCUCCUCUGACGUUAGCGGCGGACGGGUGAGUAACACGUGGAUAACCUACCUAUAAGACUGGGAUAACUUCGGGAAACCGGAGCUAAUACCGGAUAAUAUAUUGAACCGCAUGGUUCAAUAGUGAAAGACGGUUUUGCUGUCACUUAUAGAUGGAUCCGCGCCGCAUUAGCUAGUUGGUAAGGUAACGGCUUACCAAGGCAACGAUGCGUAGCCGACCUGAGAGGGUGAUCGGGCACACUGGGACUGAGACACGGUCCAGACUCCUACGGGAGGCAGCAGUAGGGAAUCUUCCGCAAUGGGCGAAAGCCUGACGGAGCAACGCCGCGUGAGUGAUGAAGGUCUUCGGAUCGUAAAACUCUGUUAUUAGGGAAGAACAAAUGUGUAAGUAACUAUGCACGUCUUGACGGUACCUAAUCAGAAAGCCACGGCUAACUACGUG